rnacentral:rRNA from 1 species
AUUUUAUCAAAUUUUAGGUAGUAAAUUUAUUUAAACCUAUAUAAAUUGGCGGCAUAUAUUCUAAUUAGAGAAAUCUGUUAUUUAAUCGAUAAUCCACGCUAUUACUUAUUUAUUUUAAAAGUUUGUAUACCGCCAUUUUAAGAAUUAUUUUUAAUAUUAUAUUCAUAAUAUAAUUCUAAAAAAUUAGGUCAAGGUGCAUCUUAUAAAUAAAUUAUAAUGGAUUUCUUUAAAAAAUAUUUAAGGAUAAUUUUAUAUUAAUUUAAUUUAAAUAAGAAUUUAAUAGUAAUUUAUUAAUAAUAUUUAUAUAUGAAUAAGUAAAAAUAUGUGC